UGAAGCUGGAGUCACGUUCUCCACAGUUCCUGCAGUCUGCAUCUCAAAAGUCUCUAUGCAGUGUCUCAGACGACUUCAGAGUGGACCAUUUUAGCUUUGUUGACUGACUUGGUUGACUUCAGACUUGCAGUUACCAGAAGAAGGAUUCUUUUAAACAAUGAGAAUGAUGUUUUAUUGUUUUAUUGUUAUUUGUUCCUCAAUCAGAUGAUUAAAGCAAGAACAGCAAUGAAGAGGAUCCAACCUUUUACUAUUGGGACCAAGUUAUCUGUCCCCUCCGAAAACAAAUGUCUGGAUUAUGUGGGCAACAUCCUUCCUGUACCAGUUCUGGACUGCUGUGAACUAAGAAACAACUCUAGCAAUGACAAUUCUCCUUUCCAUGAGGAGAGAUUGUCCACAUCUACACCUGUGGAAGGACUUCCAGACGAUAUUAAAGAGGAAGAUGACAGGGACUCUGUGUCCCCAUCAGCUUCUUCCAGAUCCAUCAGGAAGAUUGCGAUGUGUGCAAAUGCUGAAAGCCAGACUGUCAGUGACUUUAAUGUGACAAACCAUGAGACAAACAAGCCAAGUACUUCUACUGAAAAGCUGUUUCUUGUUGAGGAAAGAUUGAGUGACAAGUCCGGUGCACAGCUGGAGACUGAUCCAUGGACUAAAGGAAGGAAGAUAAGGAACCUUCAUUACGACUACAGCACGCCAACUUUCCCACAUGAUCAACCAGAGGACGCGUCUCAGAGCCAAAGGAGAGACCUCAAAGACUUUGAGAACUCUCUCAUCCAACUGACGACAAGUCUGGUCUUGAUGCAGGAGGAACCAGAAAGACCUCUUCAGAAGAUGACAGAUGCUGUAGAUUUAGGAUUGGAAAUGUUUAGAAGAAGACAAAGCCCGGGGGACCACGUUGACAAAUCGUGGCUAAAGUUGAGGUCACUCCUGAGGGACUAUCAUCAGGAUCUCAUGUUGGCUCUAGACGUCUCAUCAUUUUACCAACAAGCCGACAGCCUUAUUGGCGCCAUCAACAGCAAGAGGAACCAUGUACUGGCGGGCGACAUCCCAAAAAGUGACAAAGAGACCAGAGAAAUUGCCUGUCAGAUAAGUAUGCUGAAUGAGUCUGCGUCUCGGCUGUCAACUCUCCACCCAACCCUGGCCAGAAGAGUUACAUGCAAACAGGCUGAGGUGAAGGAGAACUGGGCACUUCUCCAGGAGUUUCUCCGGAACCAGAAGACAGAUGUUUCUUCAAAACGCCCUUCAGCGUUACCCGCUGAUCCUCUAACCACAUGCCCUGACUCACAGAGCUUUGCUAGAAAUGAGGGUCACAGCAUAAUGGGAAAAGACGUCAAAGAAGAGCAAAACCGUCUCAGAGGAUUUGAGUGCUCUCAAGGCCUGUGGACCCAUAGGAUGUGGAGUCCGGUUGAGGAAUGUUCUAUAGGGAGUCAAGUCUCACUGUUGGAAAGCAGUUGUUCCAAGCUGGACAAUAUCUCAGAAAAACAGGACAGGAAGAGCUGUAUUGACCAGCUGGCUCAAACAACCCCUGUUUCCUCUCAAGAAUGUCUCAUACCCAAUAAUCUGUUGAAAGAGUCGACGAUAUCCACUGGAAUGAAUGAAGAGCAUGACUGCUCAAAGCAAAGACAAGACCACAAAAUAGAGGAGCUCCUAAGCCAGGUGGAGGUCCUUUGGGAUACUCUGCAAAAGAAAUAUGGAGAGAACAAUAAGACUGAACCAGCAGAAAAAGAACAAUCUGGAGAUAAAGCUGCACAUAUUGUGUCAGAUCUCACCGUUUCAAACAAUCUCCCGGAACAAGCAGAGGAAGGCAGUUCAGGAAUGCUUGAAAAGUUCCUUGAACUUCUGGAUCCCAGUGGUUAUCACAAAAUAAGUCAGGAUGUUCCUGGAUCUCUGCAUAGGCAAGAAAUGGCUGAGGCUGCAGAAAUGUCACUAAAUCUACUGAGCCAACAAACUGAACAAGAAAGAUCCCAGAAGCAGGACCAGAUCACUAAUGAGCUACAAAAUUCGCUAUCUACUCUAACACUGCGGAUAAACCAGCACCUCUGCCGCUGUGCUGAGCUCAGUAUGGACCUCAUGGACAUAGAAACAGAUAUGGCUGUGCUUUGUGACUCUGACCUCAGUGGUCUGGAGGGGCUACAGGAGCAGCAGGACGACCUAGAGGCUCCUUAUAAUAUCAUUGUGGGAGAGGUGAGAGAAAUGGAGAGACUAGACAGUCAGCUAAAGGUUCCUUCCCCAGAGCAGAGAGACCUUCUCAGGGAAGAGGUUCAGGCAAUCCUGCAGGCUUGGGAGGAAGUAGGCCGCAACAUGGCUGAAAACAGAGGCCGUCUGGAGAAGUUCCACCAGAUUCAGGACUACUUUGAAAACUAUCUUGCCAUGAUUACGUGGACAGAGAACACCAGAUCCUGUAUCCUUGCUGGCAGCUCUGCUUGGAGAGAGAGUGAAGUUGCAGAGAUUGAUCACAGCAUUGAAACAAAGCUGGAUGAGUUUAGCAAACUGGCUGCAGCUGGUCAAAUGCUUAUGCAAGAUGAGAGUCAGUUUAAAGACAUUAUCAAGGAGAGAACAGAUGAGUUGCAAAGCAUGCUGGGAUGGAUCCAGGUGAACUGGCACGUUCAAAGAGUGCAGCUUAAAAGAAACCAGAAUGGGAGACCAGAGUCAACAAAUGAUCCUGUUCUACAGCAGGCUAUACCUUUCAAAAAAACUUCUGAUGGUCUUUGCAUUAUAAAUGGAGAGGUCAAAGGAAGUACUGCUGAAACACAGCCCUCUCAAAACAACUUUGAGCAACAGAACGGGAGGCAUGAUGUGUCCAGUGUUGUUAGUCAGGAGUCCUGCCUUUCAAAGACAUCCCUAGGCUCUAGCAUCUGUCUCAUUUUAAGCUUUGAUGACCAGUCUUCAGGCAUCAACCAAGUGACAAAGCAAUGGUCCCCCAACAAUAAUGAAAUACUUGAAGAGUCAGCAAGCAGUAUUCAGGCAGACAGCUGUCAAUCACAGGACAAAAACUCAAUGCAAAUGCAACAGCCGAAUGAAACAGUCAAGAGUAAAGACACCAAACCCAAGUCAUCUUGCGUGAAUCUUGCACAGUUGCAAAUCAAAAACCAAGGAGAACCAGACCAGUCACCAAGCAAAGAAGAAAUAUCCAGCCAGUUGUCCACAUAUAACAUUGAAUCAUCAUUUUGCAAUCACCUACCAGAGAAUCUGCAGUCCAACAACAACCAAACAUAUCUGCAACUAUCACCAGACGUCGAUCAGACGCAAAAUUCAGAGAAUCAAGCGCAAAAAACUCAGUCAAAAAGCUACAGCCCGAACUCGAUGCAAAAAUCUGCACACAACAAUCAAGAAACAAACCAAAACCAAAGUGACGACCACCUGCGGGCUGAAUUGGCAGCUGAAGUCACUCAUAGAGUGUUCACGUAUUUGCACGUCUCGGAUAGUCACAGAUCAACAGGGCGAGUCUUGGAGGUCAUAUCCCCAACACAUGCAGCAGAAAAUGUCACACCUGAGAGGAGAACGGUUUAUAAUCACAACAGAUUCAAGCCAAGCUCUUUGUUCAAGCUGAAAGAGCCAAUCACAAAUAAGGAGGAAAACCAGCGAAGGAACUCACUGCUUGGCUCUGUAGGAUCGGAAAGGUCUGGCAAACCUUCAAGCAUUUUCAGGCGAAGGUGUAACACUUGGCCAGAAGGAGAAAGGAGAGUGAAAGAAAGUCAAUCAAACUCCAAACUUCAGGUUUUUAUUAAAAAAAACCUGUUGCCGGUGAAUUCUGUCAUCGAUAACAAGUCCAAUUCUUUUCCAGAAGACAGUUUGCCUAAUGCUGUCAAGACUUCAAGUGGACUGGUUAAAAACAUCUGCUCUUAUUUGUCUCUAGGAUCCACUCUUAGCUUCAGUCUUCCCAAGUGCUUUCACAACAGUGUCUUGGACAUGGAAAAUAAAGAGGAGAUUCAACCUGUCCAGAUUUAUGAUGACUCAGACAACCAAAAAAUACCCUCAGCUCGAACGCCACAGUCAGAAAUGGAGGUAGAACCAGUGAUACAUACUAAACAAACUGAAAUAAACCUUCAUAGAGUAGAUAUGGAAGAUUGGGACAAUACAGAAGAACCAACCACUGAGGUCGAAACCCAACAGCUAAGCCAAGUUUAUGAAAGCACAGAACCUGUCUUGAGGGUUUUCACAUCGGUUGAAUAUGAAGAACCUGAUAAUGUUUCCUCCAGCCGUCACGAAGCCUCUUCUCCAGUGGUCAAUGGCUCUGCCUUGGUCACUCACUGCAGGCCUCUGUGUCCUUCUUCAUCAGGUGGUCACGAUUGCUUAAGUGUUUACACAAAAAUAAAAGACCUGAACGGCCACUUAUAUUACACAUCCAAAUACAUGAAGAUAAACCCCUCAGAAAGAUUGUUCCCUAAUGGCCCAGGCUCUCGUAAGAGCGGCCGCGUCAUAAACUGUGGUGUGAGAGACUGUGCAGUGUGUUUCAGUGAUACAGUGAAAGAGACCAGUGUAGACUGGGCAGAGAAACCUGACAUUAGCAUGGAGGAGCUUCUUAAGCCAGGCCACUGGUUAUUCCAGCAGGAGGAAGAGGAACUUGAAGAUAUUUGGAGAGGAAAAGUGGGUAAUCUAACUUCAAACUGUACUGUGGAAACAAAUGCGGAUGAAGAAACAGGGCUUUCAAUCAAAACCAACAGGGGACAGGUAGCCCACCCACUCCAUGGAUGAGAUGGCUGUUUUGGACAUCAUUGACAAGAUGGAUUAUUUCAUGUAUCCAUUUAUCUGCUGUACAUUUAGUAUGCUGUAUGUGUAUUAUUGUAUUUCAGUUGUAUUCUUCUCUAUAUCAACAUUUAACUCUAAAGGUUGAUCUAAGAUCAUGUCAUAUACAAUGCAGAUACACAAUAGAGGUUUGAAAUUUCAUUGCCAAACUCCAGAUGGCGCCCUUGUCACGCUUAUGCAUACUGUGCAGCAUUAGGUAAGCACAGAGGAAUGGUCAACCCAAGUACAAUAAAAAAGGCACCUCUGUGCACACCCAUUUAGAGCUAACAACAGAAUCAGCAUGCCCAGAGACCUCAUCCUGCUGAUUCACUGAGGAAAUAAUAACAACACUGCUAUGAGAAAGGCCUUGCGUAUGAAUUACACUCUCCUUUAUAACCAAAUUCUAAUGCCGUAAGCUGUACAUCUUAGAAAACAGUUUGUAAAUCACUAUUGUGGAGCAUAUAUGCAGUUGAAGGGAUUGUUACUGUGUUUGUGUCGUCAUGCUGUUUUGUCAUUCUCACUUAUGUCACACUUUUUUGCACAAAAUAAAACUGAAACCACAUCAGUGCUAGUGUGAUUUACAUGCGGAUUGCUUCAAGGUAAAGAUAACAUACAUCGUAAUAAAUUUAGGUCAAUGUAAAGGCACUUUACAGUGUUGGAAACACGACUCUUGAUAGGCUAUAAGAUGACACACAUGUCACAGGGUAGCUCUCAUCAGAGCUAAAAAUAACUUGACAUUUUACUAGAGCAUGUAAGAUUGUUCAUGCCUAUAAUAUGAGGCAUAAAUUUGAUCAUAAGUCAACUUCUGACAAAUUAGCUUUCUCUUGCACGCAUUACGAAAGCAAUGUUAUUAGAAAUGUUUUAGAAAUGCUAAAAUCACAUUUUGAAAAGUUAUGUUUGGGAGUUGAUAUUUUAUGUGACAAUCGAAAAAAAUACUCCACCAAAGAUAAAUAUUUUGAGUAAAUAAAUAUAUGUUGGGAA
rnacentral:lncRNA from 1 species